UACAGAGGGGGCAAGCGUUGUUCGGAAUUACUGGGCGUAAAGGGCGCGUAGGCGGCCUUCUAAGUCGAACGUGAAAUCCCCGGGCUCAACCCGGGAACUGCGUCCGAUACUGGAAGGCUUGAAUCCAGGAGAGGUGAGUGGAAUUCCGAGUGUAGAGGUGAAAUUCGUAGAUAUUCGGAAGAACACCAGUGGCGAAGGCGGCUCACUGGACUGGUAUUGACGCUGAGGUGCGAAAGCGUGGGGAGCAAACAGG
rnacentral:rRNA from 1 species